rnacentral:rRNA from 1 species
UCCACGGAUUAGUGGCGAACGGGUGAGUAACACGUGAAUAACCUGCCCUCAAUUUCGGAAUAACCCAGGGAAACCUGGGCUAAUACCGGAUACGUAAACCUGUGGCAUCACAUGGUUUUGGAAAGUUCUUCGAUUGAGGAUGGAUUCGCGGCCUAUCAGCUUGUUGGUGAGGUAAUGGCUCACCAAGGCGACGACGGGUAGCCGGCCUGAGAGGGUGAACGGCCACACUGGGACUGAGACACGGCCCAGACUCC